GUAGGGAAUAUUGGGCAAUGGAUGCAAGUCUGACCCAGCCAUCCCGCGUGCCGGAAGAAGGCCCUCAGGGUUGUAAACGGCUUUUGACGGUGAAGAAUCGACAGGAUGCGUCCUGUUUUGACGGUAGCCGUUGAAUAAGCACCGGCUAACUCCGUGCCAGCAGCCGCGGUAAUACGGAGGGUGCGAGCGUUGUCCGGAUUUAUUGGGUUUAAAGGGUGCGUAGGCUGGGAGGUCAGUCAGCGGUGAAAAGCUGUCGCUUAACGAUAGUCUUGCCGCAGAUACUUCCUUUCUUGGAUGAGGAGGAGGCCACUGGAACGGAUGGUGUAGCGGUGAAAUGCAUAGAUAUCAUCCAGAACACCGAUUGCGAAGGCAGGUGGCUGUACCUUAAUCGACGCUGAUGCACGAAAGCAUGGGGAGCAAACAGGAUUAGAUACCCGUGUAGUCC
rnacentral:rRNA from 1 species